UUUUUUUUUUUUUUUUUUUUUUUUUUUUUCAGUCCUUAUAUUAAAAAUUGUUUCUUUGUGGCAUUUGCCUUGCAUGAUACAUUAAUACAAGGGUAAAUUAAUUAACUGAAGGGUUUUGAAACAGAAUUGUACAUACAAUAACUUUGCUGACUACUUAACUUUAGGAGACAUUUUGAUAUUUCGUAUAUGUGUGUAUGUAAUUUAAUGUCCCUUAAUACAGUAUUUCCAUUUGAAUAUAAUCACUGCUCAAUGAAGUUAAUUGCUAGAUUAAGACACUCAACCUUGGUUUAUUUUUUCUCCAUGAAUGGAAAACUUAUCAACAAAUAUCUUGAAGGGUAGACAGGAUUGAUAGGCAUUUGCUGAUGACCCUGGAGGAGGACCUCUGGGUGAGUAAUGUGCUCUCAGUGCUUACCCCAGGCUUACAGCCUUUCUUUAGCUAUCUGGGCAAGGGGAGAUAUUCCAAAGGAGAACCUUAGCAUCGUAGGGUGGACAGAAGGAAGGCUGGCUUGGGGAAUACUGAUUUGGAGAGAAGCUGAAACCAAAUUUUAAACCCAAAUCUUGAUUCAUUGAUAGAAUUAUAUCCCUUUAUCUUAAAUUUAUAGACUAGCUAGAAAGGUUUGGCUCUCCCUGUUUGCUUGAUGCGGUUUCUGUUCCUUCAUAUUCGUGGUCAGUAACAAGGGAAGAUGUCAGUGGCACAAUGCAGGUGUUCUGGGAUGUUACUAUUUGUGAUACAUAACACUUACAGAGGGUUAGCUUGUGUUUAAGUAAUGUGGCAAAAGACAUUGCCAUCUGAGUACUUGGCCUAGUGCAGAGGGACCUGUUGUCAUAACAACAGUACGAAAGAAAAAGGUGUUCAGUUUUGAGUUGCCAGGCAUAUAUUUGCCUUGCUGGUUCCCUUAUGCUUAUUUUGUUUACAGACUCUCAUGAUGAGAGCACUUCCGGGUAACUUGGAAUUCUUGGGUGAAGAUGUGACCGCGACCAGAACCCACUCAACCCACCGCAAAGGCAGGGCCCUGAGGCCUGUGUCUUCUGCUUGGAAACCACUUCCCUGAAGGCCUGCAUUCUGUUGGUUGUUGAGGAGGUAGAGUGAAAAGCCACUGAGUGAUCUUUUCUCAAAUCACAGCCUGGUCUUCCCACCAGAGAAGCUUUUUAUAAUCGGUUACAAUUUUGGUGGUUAGGGCAGAAAAUACCUUUUUAAGUACAUUGUAAACAAUUCCAAAGUAAAACUUUCCCUACUUUAAAAUGUAGACCAAAAAUAUACAAAUGUGAUUUUAUGUAUUAGUCACUGAAUAUACUAGACAAAGAAGUAACGCAGUCACCUAAGCCUUCUCAAAAUUGAGUGUGUGUGGCAAGUUGACUGCUUUGGACUCGUUGCUUUAUGUGAUAACAUGGAUACCUUGCUCAGAACUCCAGAUUGUGGACUGCCCCUUAAAAUGUCUAGCUGCUCGAAGUGGUAUGAAUCCCAGGGUUGAACCAGCUAGGCAUGAGGCUCUUACAUGUCCUGUGGCACUCUGCUGCAGUGAAGCCAGGCUGGGAGAUGACAGGCAAUGGCCUGCCUUCUAAUGGGGGUGGGGGCAGGGCCCCCAACAGGUAUUUCUUUAGAUAAUUACCAUGCAACAUGAUGAGGUUUUGGGUGCAGUUAGAGUGCCGGAUGGGGGAUCAGAUCCAGCAGUGGGGACACACGGCAAGACUGUACAGAAGGAGUGGUUCUGGUCUGAGUGUUCAGGAAUGUGAAGGAUGUGUGGGCUUGUGCAUGGGGAGGGGAGGGAGUGCUUGAGGCUGUGUGGGAGCUCAUUGGAAAGCAGGGAUCUGUGGUACCUGCAGGGGUAGGUGAGGGAGAGGGUAAUGAAUGGGGUUGUGAGGCUGCAAAUGUCAGCAGGCUUGGAUUGUGAAGGACUUUGGGGGCAUGCCCAGGAGUUUGGGUUUUAUCUGAGGGCUCUGAGGAGCCACUGAUGAAUUUUAGGGAGGAAAAUGAUGAGAUAGGGGUUUGGGGAGAGUGGAAGAGUGGAUCAAAGGGAAUCCUGCACCUCCUUUAGGAGACUACUGGCCAGUGGGGCAGGGAGACGCAGUGCUCCAUUUAAGCAUAGAGCCUACAAGAGUGCAUGAAAGGGUGGGGGGCAGGGGGAAGCCCGGGUUCCUGGUUUGGCUGUUGGAUAGAUAGAUGGUUCAUGGGGCCAGGUACUGUGCUGGGACCUAAUAGCAGGGAACAGGUUUGUGGAGACCAUGAUGAGCACAGGUGGAGAUGGUUGUACCAUAGGCAUGCAGGAGCCCCAUUUUUCUUGACACCUUUUUUGUGCCAGUGCUGGGAGUCUUCUGCUUGGUCAUCAAGACCCACCGUAAUCACCUCCACCCCAUAUAUCCUACAUCUUACAGGAUGUCUUCUCCUAUUGUGAUCCCUCUGGCCCUGGUUUUUCCAUACCAAGUGUCUGAACACUCCUGUGUUGCUUUUGCAAACACACUGAGUGUACAAGUCCCUCCCUGUCCCCCCAAAUCAGUGUCCACUGAACAGAGUUUUAAUAUCACUAAUUUAUAUGACAUCUCUGUAAUUGCUUACAAUAAUCAAAAAGAUCUCUACAUAAAGGAAAAGGAGAAUUACAUAUAGCUUUAUUUUUCAAAGCCUUUUGUAAGAAUGCUUUUGAUCUGCAUGAAAAAAAUAUGGGGAUCCCUGGGUGGUGCAGCGGUUUGGCGCCUGCCUUUGGCCCGGGGUGCGAUCCUGGAGACCCGGGAUCGAGUCCCACAUCGGGCUCCCGGUGCAUGGAGCCUGCUUCUCCCUCUGCCUGUGUCUCUGCCUCUCUCUCUCUCUCUCUCUCUGUGACUAUCAUAAAUAAAUAAAAACUAAAAAAAAAUAUGAAGGCCUAAGGAUUUUUUUCUUUUCUAUUUUGGUAGAGGGCAAGGGUCUACCAUGUAUGAAAUGUUGUAAUGAUUAAACGUGGUUUCUUUUAGCAGUCAAUCUUGGAUGAUUUGAUCUAAAUCAUUUCAUUUGACAGUGAUCAAUUUCUAUCAGUUGUAUCUCUGUGGAUCAUUUGAUACAAACUAAGUUUCUAACUAGCUUUUCAGAGAGGCUGCUUCUUUACAUACAGCAAGCCUUCCUUGGAGUAGGUAUCACAGAAUAAGUAGGCACAUGUCUAUAUCUGUGUGGAUACAUGUGGCUUAGGAUGGGUGACUGGAGUCCCAGAGUACAGUGUGGACGCUUUCCCCACAGGCAUCUCCUGAUACUCUUAGAGGCACAGAUGUAUGUGUUCUUUCUUUUGGUGUUAGGCCAACAUGAGGAUGAAGUUUCUCUAUGCUUAGCCAUGGCCGGUCCUUGGGGGUACAAAGAUGAACAGCACAUCUGGUACAUGGUUCUUUUUGGUGUAUGAGAUUGUAGGACAGUAAAAUCCCCUUUAAUAAUAAUACUACUUUUUUGACUAUUAGAAUAUUCCCUUCCAUUGGUCUGUUAUAGUUUUUAAUUAAACUUGAAUACGUAGCUAAGACAUACUUAAGAUCAUCAAAAUUAAAAAUUCAUUAUUUCAUUUACAUUAAAAUAUAUGUGAUAGUUUAAAAAUAUUUUUUGUUAAUGGUCUUUUGGUUAUUUUGGUUUGUCCUCUGUGUUUUGUGCUCAGGACAUUAAAAAGCCAGAGCUAUUUUAAGUUGAAAUGCCCUUUACUUCCUUGGAUCAAUCAAACUUAUGCUGCUUUUUCUUCCUUAAGAGUAUGAUGUUACAUUACGGACUCUUGCUUCUAAAAUUAUGUGAAGGGAUAAAUUAACCAGUCUGACAGUUAUUAUAGCCAUAAAGGUUUAGGUAAAAAUUACAGUACUGCACUAUGAAACCCCAUCUGUAUUCCGUGUGGUGGUCUGUGAGCAUGCCCAUAUUCUUGGUAUUUAAUUCACUUGACAUGCAUUUUAUAUGUUUGAAUGGCAGUUAUAUAUUUACAUAAAAAUAUAAGCAGUACAUUAUAUUUUGAUGUCUUUAUGCCUUAGUAAAAAUGACAUUUAUAUAAUUUGAUUUUAUGGCCACCUUUCCCCCUCAACAUUUUCAUAGAGGAUCCAGGCUAGUUAGAAAUGCUUCCUUCCUACACACCACUAGCCUCACUGCGUGCGUGGUUAAAGCCCCUGAGAGCACACCCACGGUGGGCCCCGCACCGCCGCCCCGUGCCUGUGAGCGAUGCUGCGGGGUCGGGGUCGGGGUCGGGGCUGCGGCUGGCUGCCCGGGUGACGUCACCUCCGCCGGCGGCCGCUGCGGAUUCCUCCUCCGGCUCCUUGUGCUCCAGGUGCGCGUGCGCCAUGCCCCAUGCCCCUGAGUGAACUAAUGAGUAAAACUAGGUAAUUACCGCCAAGGCUUGGUGCUAAGAGUAGCCCUCCAGCUUCCUGGUUAGUGUUCCUUUCUGCUGUUGUCUCAAGAUGCUGCUUUGUUUAUGAGCACGUUCUUAAUUCUGCGCACAGACCUGUGUCUCUGAGGGUGUAGGAUUUUUUCAGCCACUCCCACUUGCGGCCUCCCCAUCGAGUACUAAAGUAGUAGGACUGACCGGCAAAUGAGGCCUUUGGAAAUGGAUGAAGAGCACAGUUUGUCCUGUGGGUUGGCUUUUAUUAUUUUAAAUUUUUUUAAGAUUUAUUUAUUCAUGAUGCUCACAGAGAGAGGCAGAGACCCGAGGGGGGAAGCGGGCCCCCUGCAGGGAGCCCGAGGACUGGAUCCCGCCCUGGAUCCCGCAGCCCCGCAGCCCCGCAGUCCCGGAUCGGAUCGCGCCGGGGCCAAAGGCAGGCGCUAGACCGCGGAGCCACCCAGGGAUCCCCGGUGGAUGGUCUUUGAAAGACCAAGGGCAGGAGGUGAGGCAGAUGGUUAGGAACACGGCAGCAGUUCAUUUCCUUCAGCCGGAUGAUCAAGAGGUAGCUCUGGUGUUUUUCUAACUCUGUUUUUACUUCAAAAACAAACAAAAAAACCGACUUGUUUAAUUUGAAGAUGACAUAAAAUCUGAAAUUACUAAUAUCUGCCAGUAGGCCUAGGAGAAAUAGGGAUUUAAAAAAGAAAUCACCCUGUAUCCUGGCUUUAAAAGUUUAAAUUUUAUUUACCUUUGACCUCAUUUGGUUUAUUUCAUCUUAUUUUUUUUUGACCCUUAUAUUAAAAAUACUGUUGGAAUAAUGUGCUUCUUGCUCAUUGUAAAAAUAUUUCUGUGGUGCUUUUUCUUCUUAAAGUAAGAGAACUUGUGGGUUGUCAUUCCUUUUCUGUUUGUUGUUGUUUUAAAAAAUCUAAUACUGAGAAGAGACCAAAUGAGUAAACAUGGUGGUCAGCAGUGACUCACUCCAAAAGGCAUUUGAUAACAACAAUACAGCACCUACUCACAGAGACUCAGGGUGAAAAAUGAGAGAUUGAUUUGGCCAGUGGAGUAUUAGAUAGUUGAAGUUUCAGACCAUUGAUUCAAGUAAAAGAUUUUCCAUUGUUAAAUGCUGACUUGUGGAAUAUUUCCUCUCAGGGCAAUGUGUUUAAUUUCCUUGUUAUAAAUAUAACACAUAGAAUAGGAGUGGCCAUUUGAAAACACUGAGCUUAUAUUUCGUAAACUUAAAAUGCAAAGUACUAAGGAACAUUAAAGUGCUUGAGUAGGAACUCGGGGUCAAGAAGCUGGAGAAGUAUGUUUGUUCAUUCAUUCAUUCAUUCACUCAUUCAUUUAUUCACUCAUUCAUUCAGCCAUCAAUCCAUCAUGUGUUUGUUGACCACCCUGUGCCUGGUCCUGUCUUAGGCAUCUGGUAUAUAGCAGGAAACAAAAGAAAUCCGUCUUCUAGCUAGCAGGCCAAUUUAGAGGAAUAGAGAGAAAAACUAAUCUCUUGAUGAGCAACAUAAUGCUUAUAAUUUUAAGAAAUAUGAGCAGUUUGGAAGCAGGGGUGUAAAAUGUACCUCAGAUUGACAUGCUCUUGAACCAAAUAGCAAUUUAAAAGGUGAUAACAGAGGGGCAUCUGGGUUAAGCAUCAGACUCUUGAUUUCAGCUUAAGUCAUGAUUUCAGGGUCCUGGGAAUCAAGCCCUACAUUGGGCUCCAUGCUCAUCGUGGAGUCUACUUGGGAUUUUCUUUCUCCUUCCUCUACCCCUUCUACUCUGGCUGUCUCUGUCUGUCUGUCUCUCUCAGAUAGAUAGAAAUAAAUAAGUAAAAUCUUUUGUAAAAUACAAGGUGAUAACCAUCAGUUUUAGCAAGUAAUAUGUGAACCUUGGGGUUGAGAUGUUUUUAAAUGAAUAUAUUAAACCCUCUAAAUAUUCAGAUUUUAUUGUUUUAGGUAUUAUUUGUGUUGAACCA
rnacentral:lncRNA from 1 species